AUGGAAGUGAUGAUUCUUUCCCCAACUUCUCGACUCUGAUGAGAUACUAAGCUAUUUUUUCUCUUCGGAGAAUCCAAGCCAAGAAUCUGAUCCAU